GACGAACGCUGGCGGCGUGCCUAACACAUGCAAGUCGAACGGAAAGGCCCUGCUUUUGUGGGGUGCUCGAGAGGCGAACGGGUGAGUAACACGUGAGUAACCUGCCCUUGACUUAGGGAUAAAUUCUGGAAAAUGGGGCUCAAACCUGAUAGAAGCUCCUGCUGCAUGGUGGUGAAUGGAAAGUUUCGGCGGUUGGGGCUGGACUCGCGGCUUAUCAGCUUGUUGGUGGGGUAGUGGCUUACCAAGGCUUUGACGGGUAGCCGGCCUGAGAGGGGGACCGGCCACAUUGGGACUGAGAUACGGCGCAGACGCGUACGGGAGGCAGCAGUAGGGAAUAUUGCACAAUGGGGGGAAGCCUGAUGCAGCAACGCCGCGUUCGGGAUGACGGCCUUCUGGUUGUAAACCACUGUCGCCUGUAACGAGGCGUGAGUGACGGUAACGGGUAAAGAAGCACCGGCUAACUACGUG
rnacentral:rRNA from 1 species